rnacentral:rRNA from 1 species
AUUGAACGCUGGCGGCAGGCCUAACACAUGCAAGUCGAACGAGUGGCGGACGGGUGAGUAAGGUCUGGGAAACUGCCUGAUGGAGGGGGAUAACUACUGGAAACGGUAGCUAAUACCGCAUACCAUCAGAUGUGCCCCGAUGGGAUUAGCUUGUUGGUGGGGUAACGGCUCACAAGGGCGCCGCUCCCUUGCUGGUCUGAGAGGAUGACCAGCCAAACUGGAACUGAGACACGGUCCAGACUCCUACGUGAGGCAGCAGUGGGGAAUAUUGCACAAUGGGCGCAAGCCUGAUGCAGCCAUGCCGCGUGUAUGAAGAAGGCCUUCGGGGGGUAAAGUACUUUCAGCGGGGAGGCGUUACCCGCAGACGAAGCACCGGCUAACUCCGUGCCAGCAGCCGCGGUAAUGC